rnacentral:rRNA from 1 species
UACGGAGGGGGCUAGCGUUGUUCGGAAUUACUGGGCGUAAAGCGCACGUAGGCGGCUUUGUAAGUUAGAGGUGAAAGCCUGAUGCUCAACAUCAGAAUUGCCUUUAAGACUGCAUCGCUUGAACGUCGGAGAGGUAAGUGGAAUUCCGAGUGUAGAGGUGAAAUGCGUAGAGAUCGGGAGGAACACCGGCGGCGAAGGCGGCUGCCUGGACCAGUCCUGACGCUGAGGCGCGAAAGCUAGGGGAGCAAACAGG